rnacentral:rRNA from 1 species
CAAUAGCGUAUAUUAAAGUUGUUGCAGUUAAAAAGCUCGUAGUUGGAUUUCUGGUAGGAGUGACCGUUCCGAACUUGAUUGUUCGUGUAUUGUGUUUUCUCCAGCCAUCCUUGUGGAGAACUUUUCUUGCAUUAAUUUGUAGGGAUUGGGACCCGCAUCGUUUACUGUGAAAAAAUUAGAGUGUUUAAAGCAGGCAAUCGCUUGAAUACAUUAGCAUGGAAUAAUAAGAUAGGACUUUGGUACUAUUUUGUUGGUUUGCAUACCAAAUUAAUGAUCAACAGGAACAGUUUGAGGAUAUUCGUAUGAACAUGUCAGAGGUGAAAUUCUAGGAUUUUGAUCAGACGAACUACUGCGAAAGCAUUUAUCAAGGAUGUUUUCAUUAA